UAGAGGACAAGGGUGCAGCUUCCUCUUGAAGAAUGCUUGGCCAAGACACUUCUCCAGUGACCACCUCUUUGGAAUCUCCUAGCAGUUUAGGCAGCUGCAAAUGGUCAGAGCUUUAUCUACCAGUGAAUUAAUGAACAGCUUUUAAAGGAUAGGAAAGAGAGAACUCCUUUGUUUAGAAUCAAAAUUCAUAAG
rnacentral:lncRNA from 1 species